GCAUAAUUCAAGAUCAGUGAACUCAAUGUUUUUAACAUUUUUUAACAUUUCUAAUGUUAAAAACAUCGAGUUCACUGAUUUUGAAUUAAGC